CGGGGAACACUAAAUCCUUACACUCUUCUAUCAAUGUCUUCUUCAUGAGUGGAAUUCCACUUUUUUGGUUAGAUAUUUGUUCUUCAACUUAGCUUGAAUAAAUACCUAGUUUCCCCCUUAAUAAUUCCCAUCAAAAUCACCUUUUUUCAAUUUUUUUAUUUGACUUUAAGUAUUAUUAUGACAGCAUGUUGCUUUGAUUUCCCUUGAGUUCCAACAGCAUGUUGCGGGCGAGGAGAUUGCUGCAAAGUUAUAAAAUGAAGAGAAUGGAUGCAAAUAUCCUUCACAAGAACCAAGAAAGCUCUCUGGGCUCAAGAAUCGCAAGAAAUUGCAUACAGAUUUCGUCUUUUCAAGGAGCCACUGAUUUUUGUGCUGCAAGAAAGUCUAAGUUUUACCUCUGAUUUUAAGGAUAAAAGGAAUUUGAAAAGUUUAGAAAUCUAUCUAAAAGUUACGUUCGGGUUUAAGGAAAGAUUUUGUGUAUGAUUUUUGAAAGAUAUUUCUGGAUUUUUUUUUUUUUGCAAAGAUUAAAAUAGAAGAAAUUAUGGUUGAAUGUUUUUUGCAAAUAUUGAAAUAGAAUUUUUGGUUUUUCUCUUUGUUGUUUAAAGAUAAACUUGAAGAACAAGAAAGAAAAAAAAGGGAAAAAAACGGAGGAAGAGGAAAGCAAAUAAAAUCUCACCUUCUGUACAAUUGAUAAAACAAACAAGUAAUUAAAAAUGAAAAAAAGGA
rnacentral:lncRNA from 1 species